GGAUGAACGCUGGCGGCGUGCCUAAUACAUGCAAGUCGAGCGGACUUGCUGGAGCUUGCUCCAGCAGGUCAGCGGCGGACGGGUGAGUAACACGUGGGCAACCUGCCUGUAAGACUGGGAUAACUCCGGGAAACCGGAGCUAAUACCGGAUAGUAUCUUGAACCGCAUGGUUCAAGCUGGAAAGACGGUUUCGGCUGUCACUUACAGAUGGGCCCGCGGCGCAUUAGCUAGUUGGUGAGGUAAUGGCUCACCAAGGCAACGAUGCGUAGCCGACCUGAGAGGGUGAUCGGCCACACUGGGACUGAGACACGGCCCAGACUCCUACGGGAGGCAGCAGUAGGGAAUCUUCCGCAAUGGACGAAAGUCUGACGGAGCAACGCCGCGUGAGUGAUGAAGGUUUUCGGAUCGUAAAACUCUGUUGUUAGGGAAGAACAAGUGCGAGAGUAACUGCUCGCACCUUGACGGUACCUAACCAGAAAGCCACGGCUAACUACGUGCCAGCAGCCGCGGUAAUACGUAGGUGGCAAGCGUUGUCCGGAAUUAUUGGGCGUAAAGCGCGCGCAGGCGGUUUCUUAAGUCUGAUGUGAAAGCCCCCGGCUCAACCGGGGAGGGUCAUUGGAAACUGGGAAACUUGAGUGCAGAAGAGGAGAGUGGAAUUCCACGUGUAGCGGUGAAAUGCGUAGAGAUGUGGAGGAACACCAGUGGCGAAGGCGACUCUCUGGUCUGUAACUGACGCUGAGGCGCGAAAGCGUGGGGAGCAAACAGGAUUAGAUACCCUGGUAGUCCACGCCGU
rnacentral:rRNA from 2 species